rnacentral:rRNA from 1 species
AUUGAACGCUGGCGGCAGGCCUAACACAUGCAAGUCGAACGGUAACAGGAAGAAGCUUGCUUCUUUGCUGACGAGUGGCGGACGGGUGAGUAAUGUCUGGGAAACUGCCUGAUGGAGGGGGAUAACUACUGGAAACGGUAGCUAAUACCGCAUAACGUCGCAAGACCAAAGAGGGGGACCUUCGGGCCUCUUGCCAUCGGAUGUGCCCAGAUGGGAUUAGCUAGUAGGUGGGGUAACGGCUCACCUAGGCGACGAUCCCUAGCUGGUCUGAGAGGAUGACCAGCCACACUGGAACUGAGACACGGUCCAGACUCCUACGGGAGGCAGCAGUGGGGAAUAUUGCACGAAGGGCGCAAGCCUGAUGCAGCCAUGCCGCGUGUAUGAAGAAGGCCUUCGGGUUGUAAAGUACUUUCAGCGGGGAGGAAGGGAGUAAAGUUAAUACCUUUGCUCAUUGACGUUACCCGCAGAAGAAGCACCGGCUAACUCCGUG